AUUGAACGCUGGCGGCAGGCCUAACACAUGCAAGUCGAACGAGUGGCGGACGGGUGAGUAAUGUCUGGGAAACUGCCUGAUGGAGGGGGAUAACUACGGGAAACGGUGGCUAAUACCGCAUACCAUCCGAUGAGCCCAGAUGGGAUUAGCUGGUUGGUGGGGUAACGGCGCACAAAGGAGACGAUCCCUAGCUGGUCUGAGAGGGUGACCGACCACACUGGAACCUAGACACGGUCCAGACUCCUACGGGAGGCAACAGUGGGGAAUAUUUCACAAUGGGCGAAAGCCGGAUGCAGCCAUGCCGCGUGUAUGAAGAAGGCCUUCGGGUUUUAAAGUACUUUCAUCGGGGAGGCGUUACCCGCAGAAGAAGCCCCGGCUAACUCCGUGCCAGCCGCCGCGGUAAUAC
rnacentral:rRNA from 1 species